rnacentral:sRNA from 1 species
AUGUUUUUAGUCUGGGGCUCCUUCCUCAUGUCAGCUCCCUAGUGGCAGAGCAGUCUCCCUCGGUGUCUCUCUGGCCACCAUGAUCAGUGUCACGGACACAUCCCAGCAUAGCCCCAGUUCUCAACCGCAUGGCGGGGACCGUCCAGGAGUUGAGGCUGGGAGGCGGCAGAAUGCAGCCAGAGGAGGGCACAGGCUGGCUGCUGGAGCUGCUGUCCGAGGUGCAGCUGCAACAGUACUUCCUGCGGCUCCGAGACGACCUCAACGUCACCCGCCUGUCCCACUUUGAGUACGUCAAGAAUGAGGACCUGGAGAAGAUCGGCAUGGGCCGGCCUGGCCAGCGGCGGCUGUGGGAGGCUGUGAAGAGGAGGAAGGCCUUGUGCAAACGCAAGUCGUGGAUGAGUAAGGUGUUCAGUGGGAAGCGACUGGAGGCUGAGUUCCCCCCUCAUCACUCUCAGAGCACCUUCCGGAAGACCUCGCCCGCCCCUGGGGGCCCAGCAGGGGAGGGGCCCCUGCAGAGCCUCACCUGCCUCAUUGGGGAGAAGGACCUGCGCCUCCUGGAGAAGCUGGGCGAUGGUUCCUUUGGCGUGGUGCGCAGGGGCGAGUGGGACGCGCCCUCAGGGAAGACGGUGAGUGUGGCUGUGAAGUGCCUGAAGCCUGAUGUCCUGAGCCAGCCAGAAGCCAUGGACGACUUCAUCCGGGAGGUCAAUGCCAUGCACUCGCUCGAUCACCGCAACCUCAUUCGCCUCUACGGGGUGGUGCUCACGCCGCCCAUGAAGAUGGUGACAGAGCUGGCACCUCUGGGAUCGUUGUUGGACCGGCUACGUGUGCCCCCGAGAGCCUGAAGACACGCACCUUCUCCCAUGCCAGCGACACCUG